rnacentral:misc_RNA from 1 species
UUUCCGUAGGUGGACCUGCGGAAGGAUCAUUACCGAGUGAUGGACUCUCAGGCCCGCCCUCCCACCCUGUGCUUUUGUGACCUUCUUGCAUUGGCGGGCCCGCCACGAUGAGAGGCCGCCGGAAGCUCCCCGCUUUGGCCCCGUGCCCGUCAGUAGACCCCUUAAAUUCUUAAUAAACCUGUAGUCUGAGUUAAUGGAUAUAAUGAAAAAAAACUUUUAACAACGGAUCUCUUGGUUCUG